GACGAACGCUGGCGGCGCGCCUAACACAUGCAAGUCGAACGAGCGAGAGAGAGCUUGCUUUCUCGAGCGAGUGGCGAACGGGUGAGUAACGCGUGAGGAACCUGCCUCAAAGAGGGGGACAACAGUUGGAAACGACUGCUAAUACCGCAUAAGCCCACGACCCGGCAUCGGGUUGAGGGAAAAGGAGCAAUCCGCUUUGAGAUGCCUCGCGUCCGAUUAGCUAGUUGGUGAGGUAAUGGCCCACCAAGGCGACGAUCGGUAGCCGGACUGAGAGGUUGAACGGCCACAUUGGGACUGAGACACGGCCCAGACUCCUACGGGAGGCAGCAGUGGGGAAUAUUGCACAAUGGGGGAAACCCUGAUGCAGCGACGCCGCGUGGAGGAAGAAGGUCUUCGGAUUGUAAACUCCUGUUGUUGAGGAAGAUAAUGACGGUACUCAACAAGGAAGUGACGGCUAACUACGUGCCAGCAGCCGCCGUAA
rnacentral:rRNA from 1 species